rnacentral:tRNA from 1 species
GAUUUCAUAGCUUAGGGAUUAGAGCACUGGUCUUUUAAAUCAGGGGUCAUGGGUUCAAAUCUCACCAGGACCU